GUGCGGCCACCGGGCGGGGAUCAACGGCGGGCGGGGAUCAACGGCUGGCGGGAAUCAACGGCGGGCGGGGAUCAACGGCUGGCGGGAAUCAACGGCGGGCGGGGCGAGGAUCAACGGCGGGCGCGGGGCGCGGCUCGCGGAGGGCGGUCCGCGAGGAACGGUCCGCGCGGGGAGAGGAGGCCGCGCUCCGAGAGGCCGGCGGGGCCGCGCGAGGCUUGCGACGCCGGGUCGGAAGGCGCCUUUCAGGGGGCGGAGGGCGCCCCACGGCCCACCGGCUGGCCCUGCGGCGCUUCCAUUGGGUGUCUGGGCCGGGAGGCUGCCGCCUAGGACUGCGGACGCCCCGAGCCCACCGAGCUGGCCCCGCCGGGGCCGCCCCCAGGCCCCUCGGCUCCUUACGCGGGGUGGCCGCCUUGGAAACCUGUGCCUUCCUGCGGGGCCCGGGGCAUCAGAGCGAGCUCGGGGCCGGAGCGAGGGAGCAGCCCCCUGCCCGGGUGGGGCGGGCCUGCGGGAGGGGAGAGCACGGGACAGGGGCGCCCAGGAGGCCGCGGAUGGCUGCGGCAGGGCAAGUGCUAAGGUGGGGACGGGCCCCCGAGCAGCCCCGGCGCGGGUGCCUCCAGAGUCUUCCUUGAGAGCCACCACCGCAGACAUCAGCUCCCCCGCGCCCCUCCACCCCGAGCUUGAAGUCUGGGCGCGCGACCCCGCCUUCCCCGGGGACCUCUCGAGCGCCCCUCCGCGGCGGUGCCGGCGCGCUGCUGCUCGGCCGGCGAAGGCGAGGGCCCGGGGCUUCAGCGCUCGCCGGCCGAGCGUCCCAGCGGUCUGCGACGUCAAAUAGAGAGAACACUGUGGCUUCUGAUAUAUUGACCUUGUGUAUUGGGGCCUUGCUAAAUCCACUUCUUACUCCUGGUCUCCAAAACCCGAGGCCCCUAUCUUGGUGCUAAGAGGAAAAAAAUAAAUCACAGCUUCCCACAUUGACAUUACCUUCCUGGCCACCCCUGGCCUGUUCAUUUUCCUCCUUAAGGGAGAACUGAAGAGUCAAGAUCCAACAAAAAUAAAACAUCAAGCACAAUGGGGUGUUUUGUGUGCUCCUUAGAAGCUCCUUUGCCAAACUGGGAGGAACAGAAAAACCUGCUGAGGUUUUCAAAUAGAAAUGGCAGAGGCUGUGUGACUGUCUACAUAAAACGGAAACCAGAAAAAGUGCCACAAUAUUUGAAAAAAGGAAAAUAUGGUCACCACCUUUAAAAGAAAAUACAAGAAACGUGACUGGCAACCACCGCUUGGCUUACUGUUCUCCGCCGAGAGCAAAAGUCUACUAGAGCAGUAGACUAAAGGCGUGGGUUGUCAGAAAGGUCCUACUGGAUAUCUGGAAUUCCUCUUUGUCAAACCUCAAAAGUUUGCUUUAACUUAAAAUAUAUAACUAUGUAUCCAUUUGCCAAUCUUUCUUAUAUUAUGUAAAAUUUCAAACAUAUACAAAAGUAAAG
rnacentral:lncRNA from 1 species